GACUGUCUCCAUAAAACAGGAAAUGGCCACAAGAAAAGACAAACUCGCCAAAGUAAAACUACACCUUCCUACAGAGCAAUAAUGAUAAAGUUUAAAACAACAGGAACGGUGACAAUCGAUAAGAGCUCAAGUUCAUCUCGCACAGUGAGGUUGAUGACAGCAGCAGUGCUUUUAACAUGAUUUUUAAACAUAUUCAGCAGUAGUACAAACGUUUAGUGUCACUAAUCUUCAUCCGUACACUAGACAUUGAAGGUGCUGUACGUGCGAAAAGACAAACAGCAGCGUAGUGACCUCAUAUGCAUAUCUAACAUAUCCGCCAUGUUUAUUUAUCCAAACUACUUGGCUAGAUUGCUGUGACUAAGAACAAUAAGCUAGCAAGGUCCAUUCCUUUUUCUUAUGCUUGUUUCUGUUCAAUCCUUUCUUUUAGUUGUUUUAAUGGAGCAAAUCCUAAGCACCUUAUUGCCUGUGUGGCAAAACAAAAAACAACAAGUAAAUUGCCUGAAAGUUGACUAGGUAGCUUGUGACCGUCAACAAAUCUUUGGGUCUUCCCCACACUUGACAAGAAAGAGAUAAGCGAGAAAAAGAAUCAUCCUGAAUCUCCUUGUCAGACUGAAUCAGGGUUGUACAAACACAACCCAGAGGUUUUCCUCAGACCAGAACUGACAGUUUCCAGAUCAGUGUUAAGAAAUAACAAGGUCUUGAACCCAGUGGUUAGAAAAUACAUUUUUGGUCAAAUUAUGGGAAAACUUUUUAGACUUUCCAUGUAUAUCACCAGGAGUAUAUGGGGAACAAACCUGGAAUCUGAGGGCACUGUUCACACCAGCCCUGUUUAAUCCGCUUCAAUCAACUAUGUAGUUCAUUUGUCUGAAAAAAAACAACAACAAAAAAACGGGUUCAUUUGGGGGGAUGUGAAUGCGUAAUCAAACUUUGAUGUUGAGCAAAAAAAGCAAACUCUGGUCCGGCUACAAACCGGGUCUUGGUUCAGUUGAAGUGAAACUCUGGUGCGGUUUGAAUGCAUAUGGGAAUGCCGAGCGGACCAAAGAACGCUUCAAAAGCAGGAAGCGCACUAUAGCACAAGGCAUUCUGGGUAAAUAUAACCAAAAGAAAUGUGCUUGCUGGAAAAAAAAACCAUAUUUGAUAUACAAUAAUGAUUACCUCAAAAUAUUAAAUGGCUCUCCUAUUACAACAAAAAAGUGACAUUUGACAUUUUCUCCGAAUUGGCCAGUUAAUUCCCAUGAAAUUCAAUGUAAAGUUUCAGGGAAUUUACCUGAAAUUUUCUGCCACUUUCCGCCAUUUCAUUUGUUUUCAUAUAUAUUUAUGUAUUUAUAUAAUGUAAUUUUUUUAAAUUAAUAUUUCUCUAUGAAUAGACCGAGAAGCACAAAACGCACGUGGUACAAGCUAAGCCUGGGCGAUAAACCAAAAAUGAACCGAGACCGAAAUUUAUGACAACGGCCGACAUCAUUUUGCAAUUAUUGGUAUAUUCAGUAUUUAAAGGAAAUGAAAGUGGUUUAUGUCUUUUUUGGUUGUGUAUACGGUACGCUAUGCUCAUGUUCCUUUAAGACGCUGCGCUACCUGUACAGUCUAGUCACGUGACUCCACCCCAUCUAGUCGCCAAAAAGAUGUGAAAGACUGUGAGGUUGAGGAACUUGAGGAAAUACGAAUUGUUGAAGGUAGAGCUGGUUGAGGAGGAACAGGAACAGAUCAUUCCCCCCUCAAAAACGCAUCAAUCAUUAGGCAACAUUUUGGAUUCAGCAAGGACGUUAGAAGUUAUUUCAAACUUCUAAACUUGUUCAGUUUGUUUAUUGGUUCAAUAACAACUAACAGUACAAAUCUUUCUUAAUUUAUUUAGCUGUAGUUUUAACAUUCAUUAAAAUGGCAAUAAAAGUAACUGCGAAAAACCGGUCCAGAGGGAUUAUACUAUCAAUAUAACUGACUGCGAAGUAUUUAUCACAUUCUUUGAUUUCGGUGUGGGAGGGGCAGUGUUAUUGUCCAUUUAUCGUUGUUGAGGUGAACUCUCAGUAAAUCACGGUACUCAUUUUAGGCCUUAUUGCUCAGUCAUAGCACAAUUUACGGCAACCUAGCCGAGUUUGGUACCUGAAGGACGGUACAGAUUUGAUAAAACAUUACAAAGUAGGACAAAAUUAAUCAGGAGAAGACUUAGGGGAAAACGAGUGCACAAUUUAUUAUUUGCCAUUUCUAAAUCAGCUGUUUAAAUUAAAUCCAGUGCUGUGUGUGUAGAAGCUCCUUAAACGGGGGGACGAAAUAUCUGUGAGGGAUGGCGACGGAGGAAGAGGACAGGGCGAGUCUCCCUAGAGAGGAGGGACGAACGAAUAGACAGGGAGGAGGUUGAGGUGGUAGGAGCGGGCACGCUUGGAUGAUUUUGGUAUGAAUGCAUGCAUGCAUACUGCCUUGUGUGUAUAGCCUGUAAGUGUGUGUGUGUGCGGUGCGCGUGAGAGAGGACGAACAAGGUGUGGGUGUGUUUUUAGCGUGCGUAUGCAUAUUAAUGUAUGGAUGUGCUCCUCUCGCUUCCUUCCAUCUCCAUUUAUGGCAUGUUAACGUCUGCCUCCUCACGAGGGAGAGCACGCGCAGGGGUGUGUGUGUGUGUGUACGUGCCCGUGCGAUCAUACGUCCGUGUUCGGUGUGCGUCUCAGAUCUAUGUGCUGCGUACGUGUGUCUGGCUUCGCGUUGCGACUGCGCAUGUCUGCCGCUGUGUGUGGGUGGUUUGGGUGCUUAGCUCUACAAGGUCUGUGUAUAUAUCAGCGUGUGUGUGUGUGUGUGUGUGUGUGAGAGAGAGAGAAAGUGGGUGGUAUAUGCACAGAGGAUGAGAUGAGUGGCUGUUUUUUUUUUUCCUCGAACAGAGUGGCAUACCUUUUUUUUUACCCACAUCUGCAGUAUGCGUGUAUUAUACCCAGCUGGAAAAUGUAAAGUAAAUUCAAAGUAAAAAAGCAGAGCAAAAUCAUUAAUUUUUUACAUUUUAAGCUCUUCGCUAAAACAAGAAGCUUGUCCAGGCCCUGGUCAGGCGUCCUGAAGAAACCUGCAGCCGCAACUUCCUGACAACUCCCUCCCUCUCUCUCCUCUUUGUUUACAUCUCUUUCUUUCUUUCUCCAUACGUACAAUUCUCUCUCUCUCUCUUUCUCUCUCCUCCUUUGUCUGUUCAGCAAACACACACACACGCAAAGGAAGGGAGCUGAACGGCGUCGGUCCCUUGUUGCUUCAUUACGCGCGCCAUCGUUUUCGUCUCGACUCCAUUUUCUUUACAGAAUGCAAAUCCCUGCCAAUAUAUGUGCAUCCUCGUGUGUGUGUGUGUGUGUGGGCGGUCUGUCUACAACAACAGAUGGAGCUGCCAAAUAGGUUGCUGUCUGUGUGGGAAUAUGUGUGUGUGUGUGUUUCUGUGAGCUAUCUGAAUGCAAAUCUGAAAAGUCGCCAGGCGUAGGUACGUAUAAUCAGAUGAAUCAGAGGUGAUUUUUUUAUGCUUAUUCCACCUCCUAAUAAUCAGAGUAUUGACGAAGGAAGGCACCGAGUGUCCCACGGCGGCCGUGUCCUGACCAAUCGCAGGAACGCACAGGGAAGAGACGCAGCCAAUCAUGAGGUGAAUAACAACCAGACUGUUAAAGCAGGUGACCGAGUGGGUUCAGACAAUUAUUCUAAUUAUCCUGGAUUUGAGCAGAAAGACGAGGAAAAGGUGGCGCUGUGCCGCGCCUCCUCCCGAGGAGGAGAUGUUUGUUAAGAAUCUCCCAGGACAGAUGAGGCAUUGCGGCACUCUGCCGUCACAUGAGCCAAGCUUCAAACCAGACAAAGACACAAGAGUGAGAGGAGAGAGAAGAGGCUGAUGAUUCUUUUUUUCCCCCCUUUCUCUCCCUCUCUCUCUUUUUUUUGGUCUGCUGUAGGAAGAUAAACACCUCAGUGCUCUUUUGUUAAUGCUGCAGGAUUUAGUGUGCCGGGAGUAGAAAUAAUAAAAACCCAGGGAUGGACCGAUCAAUCCACCAGAGAUCAAAAUCGUCCCAACUUUCCCUCGAUCGGCAGGUCGGAUCUUGAAAAAUCGGAAUCUACUUCCUGUUCGUUAAAUGCAUCCAAACUGAGAAGGUCGACCAUUUUCAGUCCAUAAAUGCAUCAAUCCCACAGGGUGUACUAAAAUAACUGGGGUGCAUCGAGUAUAAAUAGGGACAAUCUUAAUUCCUCAAUCUACUGUUUGGUUCAAAAUCAACUACCUCUGUCUAUGAACCCUCAGCACAUUCUUGUGUUUUACGUUCAUUUUGUGGAAAGACAAAAAAAAGGCAGAAACUUUCGAAACGGGAAUCAACAACUCAGCAAAAAUAAUUAAUAAAUAAAAAUCUGUGCAGUUAAAGCCCAGUUGGUGCAUCUGCACAAAAAAAUUAAAGCGACUCCAAACGGUAAACACAGCUUACAGAAACGAAAUUGGUCAAUUUUAUUUAUGUGUCACAUUUCAAUGACAGUUCACAGUGCUUUACACCAUAAAAAUAUAAUACAGUAACCAAUUAUGAAACAAGCAAUAACCACUACAUUUAGUCAAACGCCGUCAUAAAGCAAAAACACAUCAAAAAUGUUGAUCAGUGUUCCAGACAACUCUAAACAGAAGUGGCAUUAGCCUUGAUUUAAAGGAAUUUCGUGUGUCAGCAUUUUGGCAGUUUUCUGGAAGUGUCUUCCAGAUUUGUGGUGCAUAGAAACUGAAAGCUGCUUCUCCACAAAGCACUACAGAUCCAUCCAUCCAGCAGUUAAUUUCCUUUAACUUGUUUGUUUGAAUUCUUCUCCCCUCUGUCCUGAAAAGUUCUGCUUGUAAAGAUAUUUUUUUCCACAGCUGGAAAGACCGUUCAGCCAUGUUGGCAGUCACACCUCCCGACUGUGGUCUUUAAAUUAAACACCGUGUUUGUUCUUCGUCUGUCGUUGUACGUUAGAAAAUGGGGAAAAAUUAUGAAUACGUGACUGAGCUGCAGAGUAGGGAAUUAUUGCUUUUUUAAAAAAUAAAAAAAAUCUAGACUUGUUUUUAAAAAAUGCAUUAGAAGACAAUUUAAAAAAUUUCCUUGUUCUUAUUACUGCGGGAAACUUCCUGAAAUGUCCAGUAAACCAGUGUCAGUUUACUUUGGCUCAUAUUAAAAAGUAGUAAUCAUGUACACAAUUCUUGAGAGAGGUGCAUUGUUCACCAUAGUCACAGGUGAAAAGAAAGUACACCUCUUUUCACUCCUAGGGUUUUAUGCAUCAGGAUCUGAUCUCAACCAGGAUCCUCAAAUGUGCAAAAAGGAAACACACACACACACACACCUACACACACACACACACACACACACACACACGUUUCAGUCUCACCACUGACUAACAUCCGCUUCCAGGAUGUUUACUUUAGCAACCUUCUACAGUCGCCUAUCCCCAAACUCCCGCACAUAACUGUGAACUAAGAGCUCAUCAUAAAGUGAUGUAGGUAUUUUAUUCAAAUCUUUUUCUUUGUCCCUGAAAGAAAUAGCAAUACAAGUUCUGAUUCACCUCAGAAACUACACUCACUGCGUAAAGGACGAGCGGCAUUUCUUUCUAAUUCAUCUCUGACUUUACUACAGGCUUACAGGAAGUGUAAUGAUGACACACUUGAAUUGUUGAACACCUCUGUCAACCCACACCACAAGAAGUACCAAAAAAAACCCCCAUCUAAUUCAGUCUGACGCUGAAAGGAAUCCUUCGCUUCAUUCACAGCGUGAAAGCAGAAGCAGAUCUUUAACCCGCAGAGUUAGUCCCACGUCGUUUACUUAUCUUUUUCUCCCUCUGUGUGAUACUUUUGAUAACAUCUCUUAGAAAUAAAAAAAAGAAAAGAAAAACAUCAAAAAUAUGAAUCAGGAAGGGUUGGUUUUCUUUUAAGUUGGGUUAACUUUUGUAUAAAAUACUGUAAAUACUGUUACAUAAAGAGUUCACAAAUCUCCUUAAGUUUCACAUGUAAUGGCACAGAAAUUGAUUU